CAUGAUGUAGCUUAAAUCCCAAAGCAUCUGGCCUACACCCAGAAGAUUUCGCACCCACGAACAUCAUGA
rnacentral:tRNA from 1 species